AUUGAACGCUGGCGGCAGGCUUAACACAUGCAAGUCGAGCGGGGUGAUGGUGCUUGCACUAUCACUUAGCGGCGGACGGGUGAGUAAUGCUUAGGAAUCUGCCUAUUAGUGGGGGACAACAUCUCGAAAGGGCUGCUAAUACCGCAAACGUCCUACGGGAGAAAGCAGGGGAUCACUUGUGACCUUGCGCUAAUAGAUGAGCCUAAGUCGGAUUAGCUAGUUGGUGGGGUAAAGGCCUACCAAGGCGACGAUCUGUAGCGGGUCUGAGAGGAUGAUCCGCCACACUGGGACUGAGACACGGCCCAGACUCCUACGGGAGGCAGCAGUGGGGAAUAUUGGACAAUGGGGGGAACCCUGAUCCAGCCAUGCCGCGUGUGUGAAGAAGGCCUUAUGGUUGUAAAGCACUUUAAGCGAGGAGGAGGCUCUUUUGGUUAAUACCCAAGAUGAGUGGACGUUACUCGCAGAAUAAGCACCGGCUAACUCUGUGCCAGCCGCCGCUGUAA
rnacentral:rRNA from 1 species